CCUACGGGAGGCAGCAGUGGGGAAUAUUGCGCAAUGGGCGAAAGCCUGACGCAGCGACGCCGCGUGAGGGAUGAAGGUCUUCGGAUCGUAAACCUCUGUCAGCAGGGACGAACGGUCACUGUGCUAAUCAGCAGUGAAUUGACGGUACCUGCAAAGGAAGCACCGGCUAACUCCGUGCCAGCAGCGGCGGUAAUACGGAGGGUGCGAGCGUUAAUCGGAAUUACUGGGCGUAAAGCGCUCGUAGGCGGUAUGUCAAGUCAAGGGUGAAAGCCCCGCGCUCAACGUGGGAACUGCCUUUGAAAAUGGCAAACUGGAGUGUGUGAGAGGAUAGUGGAAUUCGAGGUGUAGGAGUGAAAUCCGUAGAUAUCUGGAGGAACAUCAGUGGCGAAGGCGACUAUCUGGCACAUAACUGACGCUGAGGAGCGAAAGCGUGGGUAGCAAACAGGAUUAGAUACCCUGGUAGUC
rnacentral:rRNA from 1 species